rnacentral:snRNA from 1 species
AUACUUACCUGGCAGGGGCGAUUCCAUGAUCACAAAGGUGACUUUUCCACUGUGAGGCUUAUCUAUUGCAAUCUGAAUAUGCUGACCCCUGCUAUUUACUCAAAUGUGGCAAAUCCGAUUGCAUAAUUUAUGGUAGAGUACGGCACUCAUGAUCUCCC